GUAGUCCUUGGGCUACCUCCUCCUAAGUCACUGGGAGCUGGUCAAGAGGCUCAGACCAGCAGUUUCAGAAUCUCUUGGGAGGGCCUGGAGUCCGGGUGAUGUUUAGGGAGGUUGGCAUUGGUGCUGGAACUUUCCUUGGCCCCCCAAUUUAUCGAAGUACUAAGGGUUGGAAGUCUCUGGAGCUGCAGGAGUUGAGUUUGAGAAAAGGCUCUUGGUGGUUUAAAGAGAGGUUUCAACUGCCUCUGGCCUCAGGCAGGACCGUUCCUUAAAGUUCUAGCGCAGCCCUGUGUGUAACUCUGGGUUUUAGGAGUUUGUCAAGACUUCAGCCACAGAGCUAUACAAAUGUCCUCAAACUUCUGCACCGCAUCCCUCCCCAGGAGAGCUUCUGGGGCGCAGCGGUGGGGGCCCUGUUGUCCAGUGACUGGAGCUGCUCUCUACCUCAUGUGUCUCAGCAGGCUUACUAGGGAAGCCCCACCUGAGAGCUGCUUCAGCACCCUGUGCUGUGUGGUAAAAAAAAGCUGAGCUUCCGUCAAAGGGCUAGUGUGGUUUCCUGUUCUUGAACAGUGUGAGAACCAAGUUUUUUCAUUUCCCCUUUCUCCGUGGCUACCAGGAGUCUUGGUACUAAAUUUGCAACCCACCCCAAUAGCUAUGUAAAGAUCCUGUGACCUGCUUGUGUGACCGCUCUUUUCUCUCUGGUUUAGAUGUCUUCUUCAGAUUGGUUUUUCUCUGCCUGUGAUUUUAAUGCUUCUAUCUCAACACUUUCUUGUCUUUGUGUUUCCUUACCUCUUCCUGGAACCAGGCUGAGGGUAUGUAAAGACACGGGACACGCAGACACACAUGAAGUCAUCCUCACAUUGCUUGGCUGGCAUGCUGUCUUCAUGGCUUCCCAGCUCUGUGAGUGUGUUUGUUUGCAUGGUCCUGAGCCACUGGUCGGUUGGGACAUGCCUGAGGCUGGUCAGGGGCUGCCUUCUGCUUGGUGUGGGUUUUUGUUUCUUUAGUUUGUUUUGGUUGUUUUAAAUUUCUCUCUACGCCCAUCAGUUAUUCAGAGUGUGAACACACUGAUGGGCCAGUGGGCGUUGAUUGUUUCUUUUUCCCUCUUAAAUUUACAUCUUUUUCAUGACGUAAGUUUAAGUUGCUUACUGUAAAAUCUCAAAAUAAUCCCUUUAAGAAAGAGGAGAAAUGCUCAUGUCCUCCUCGGGGUCACUGCAGCGGGUCUGGGUCGUUUCCCCACAAAGUGAAAUAAUCUGCCCAGACCUUCUGCAACCUUCACUUUUGCUUAGUGAUAAAUAAUUAUUAUCUCUUAAUAAUUACAUCUUCUGCAACAAUGAGUAGGUCCUAAAAUUUUCUCAUUGUACUGUGUGUGUGUGGGGUAUGUAUGUAUGUAUGUAUGUAUGAAUGUAUGUAUGUAUAAAUGCAUGAAUGCUGACCAGAUGGCUCAGUGGGCAAAGGCACUGUUGUUGCCAAGCCUGAUAAUCUGAAUUCAAUCCCUAGGACUCCUGCGGUAGAAGAGAGCACCGAUUCCCAGAAGUUGCCCUCUGAUCUCCACACACUCACACACUCUUUUAAAUGUUAAGCAGGAAAAACUUUGCUGUAAGAACUGACAUUGUCAGCCAUUGCAUUCUGUGCCCUGUUCUCUGGGUCACUGAGCGUUCCCACCUGCCAGUGUUCCUCUUGAUGCUGUCAUGAGAGCCUCACAACAUGAGAUGCUCACACCACCUUUUCUGUCUUGUCUCUUGCCUCUCCACUUGCUGCAGGGACAUAUGAAGCUCUUUGUCCCCCUCACCCGUCCCUACAUGCUCUGUGCUUUCCCUCCUUUGCCACUUAAAAUAAUACCCUGCCUGGGCAUGCUAAUGCAUGCUUGUCACCCAGCACCCAAGAGGCUGAGGCAGGAGAAUCAUGAUUUUGAGACUAGUCUGGGCUAUGUAACAGAGCUGUCUCCAAAAAAAAAAAAAAAGCGAACUCCGUUUGGGCUAGGGUUAUAUACUUCACAGUGGCCUAGGCUGGGUGUCAGCUACAAUCAAAUUAGCAGUACACUUUUUUUUUUUUAAUUAGCAAUACACUUACAAUACCCUUUAACAUUUUACUUCCAAUGUCUAAUGUAAUCCUUACUUGUGUGUAUCUGACAUACAGGCAUGUGUGCUGUUGGGGACCAAACCCAGGCCCUUACAUGUUAGGCAAGCACGUACUGUGCCACACCCUGAGCCCCGUUAGCCUAGUACAGCGUAGUGUGACCCACUUAGCUCCCAGGAGGGACAGCAGAGUCUCAUUCCUACCC
rnacentral:lncRNA from 1 species